UACGGAGGGUGCAAGCGUUAUCCGGAUUCACUGGGUUUAAAGGGUGCGUAGGCGGGUUGGUAAGUCAGUGGUGAAAUCUCCGAGCUUAACUUGGAAACUGCCAUUGAUACUAUCUGUCUUGAAUAUUGUGGAGGUGAGCGGAAUAUGUCAUGUAGCGGUGAAAUGCUUAGAUAUGACAUAGAACACCAAUUGCGAAGGCAGCUCGCUACACAAAUAUUGACUCUGAGGCACGAAAGCGUGGGGAUCAAACAGG
rnacentral:rRNA from 1 species